CUGCAUAAGUUAUUUUUAUUUUAUGAUCUCCUUCAGAGUUUCUUAAAAACAAGGAGUCCUGCAACCUCCAGAAUCAGAAAUGCCUGUGUGUCAGGAAUGGGGGAAGAGUAGGGCCUAGGUUCUGCAUUUUUAAACAAGAGACCGAGUUCUAACACACACUAACAUAAGAGAAACCCGGAGAGGGUACAAGGAGAGGGAAAUGGAAGUGGGUGGGGAGCAGAUAAGAAUAUGCUGAGCCUGAAUCCACAAUGAGCGAGGCCCUGAGUGACUCAUGUCACAGAGGGACAGCUGGUCAGGAAAGGUCUUAGGCAUGGGGCCCAGUGACCCACACCUCUGCCAGGGAUCACAUGGAGAUCCUCAGGGAAGACAGGGAUAAAGAAGCACCAUCCUAUCUUCCCUAGGACAUGAAGAGGUAUAAGGGUGUGCAUGCACGCAAAUCCUGCUUUCUUGGGAGCACACAGCUCAGAUGGAGUUGGGGAGGGGGCUUAUCCACUCCCAAUUCAAAAAGUGAGAGGUAAAUUCAGUUCAAGGAAAAUCCAGUUAAAGACUAGGGAGACACCUGGUGGUCAAAUAAGAAAAAGAGUAACAAAGGCAAU
rnacentral:lncRNA from 1 species